rnacentral:rRNA from 1 species
CAGCCGCCGCGGGAAUACGGAGGGGGCUAGCGUUGUUCGGAAUUACUGGGCGUAAAGCGUACGUAGGCGGCUUUGUAAGUUAGAGGUGAAAGCCCGGGGCUCAACCCCGGAAUUGCCUUUAAGACUGCAUCGCUUGAAUCGCGGAGAGGUGAGUGGAAUUCCGAGUGUAGAGGUGAAAUUCGUAGAUAUUCGGAAGAACACCAGUGGCGAAGGCGGCUCACUGGACGCGUAUUGACGCUGAGGUACGAAAGCGUGGGGAGCAAACAGGAUUAGAUACCCGAGUAGUCCCUGUCUCUUAUAC